rnacentral:rRNA from 1 species
GUGAACGCUGGCGGUAGGCCUAACACAUGCAGGUCGAACGGCAGCACAGAGGAGCUUGCUCCUUGGGUGGCGAGUGGCGGACGGGUGAGGAAUACAUCGGAAUCUACUCUUUCGUGGGGGAUAACGUAGGGAAACUUACGCUAAUACCGCAUACGACCUUCGGGUGAAAGCAGGGGUUCGCAAGACCUUGCGCGAUUGAAUGAGCCGAUGUCGGAUUAACUAGUUGGCGGGGUAAAGGCCCACCAAGGCAACGAUCCGUAGCUGGUCUGAGAGGAUGAUCAGCAAACCUGGAACUGAGACACGGUCCAGACUCCUACGGGAGGCAGCAGUGGGGAAUAUUGGACAAUGGGCGCAAGCCUGAUCCAGCCAUACCGCGUGGGUGAAGAAGGCCUUCGGGUUGUAAAGCCCUUUUGUUGGGAAAGAAAAGCACGCGGUUAAUACCCGAGUGUUCUGACGGUACCCAAAGAAUAAGCACCGGCUAACUUCGUGCCAGCAGCCGCGGUAA